ACCGCGAUUGCCCAGUUGGUAGAGAGUUUGGCUCAUAACUGAGAAGUCCCAGGUUCAAGUCUUGGUUGUGGUG
rnacentral:tRNA from 1 species